rnacentral:snoRNA from 1 species
GCCAUCCAAGACGACGAGCUCAUCUCCUACAUCAUCCAUGGGUUGGAGGUCGACUACCAGCCCCUCAUCUCCACCCUCGAUGCACGCGUCACGCCGGUCUCCCUCGACGAACUCUAUGCUAUGUUGAGCAACUUCGAUC